rnacentral:pre_miRNA from 1 species
GGUUAAAUUGUUACAUCUUAUGUGAAGAGUGUAUUUAACUUUAUAAGGAACUGCCAAACUGUUUUCCACAGUGGCUAUCCCAUUUUGCAUUCCACCAGCAAU